GGCGAUUGUCUAAUACCGGAUGCCUUCAUCAUGUCGCAUGGCGAGAUGAAGAAAUGGAUUCCGCUUCGGGAUGGGCUCGCGGCCUAUCAGCUUGUUGGUGGGGUAAUGGCCUACCAAGGCAACGACGGGUAGCCGGCCUGAGAGGGCGACCGGCCACACUGGGACUGAGACACGGCCCAGACUCCUACGGGAGGCAGCAGUGGGGAAUAUUGGACAAUGGGCGGAAGCCUGAUCCAGCAACGCCGCGUGAGGGAUGACGGCCUUCGGGUUGUAAACCUCUUUCAGCGCCGACGAAGCGAGAGUGACGGUAGGCGCAGAAGAAGCACCGGCCAACUACGUGCCAGCAGCCGCGGUAAUG
rnacentral:rRNA from 1 species